CAUCUUCAAGAAAACAUAAUAAAUAUCCCCUCCCAGGGAGGUAGUGUGACAAUGAAUGCAAGUUGUAAAUGAAAGACAAUGAAAGUUCUGUGAGCUUCUCCGGAUUAGGUGUUUUUUUUUUUCCAUGAGGCGAGUGCUCACACGUGUUGCAUACCCCUGCUUAUCAUUCCUGGGCUUCUUGCAGCUGCUGAUGAGGCUUUCUAUUUUUAACCCACUCUGACAUGAUUUUUUUCUUCCUUUUAACACCCGACAACCUUUGCCAAAUGAGACCUAAAUACAUUGAUUGCAUCAUACUCUUUCCCAAGCUGUCUCUGCUUGCUAGGGUUUGAGUCUCUUAGUGAUUCCACUAUAUAGAAGGCAUAGCUGACACAAAUUCAAGACAGGAAAGGGCAAGAUAUUGAAGCCUUCAAAAUCAUCUUUGGAGAAAGACACAGACCACAGACUGUUUCUGCAAUCCCAUGUUAAGUUCUUUUGGGCAUGUCCUUAACCUUGGCAAAAUAAAGUUCUAAAUUGAUUGAGA